UACAGAGGUGGCAAGCGUUGUUCGGAAUUACUGGGCGUAAAGGGCGCGUAGGCGGCCUUCUAAGUCGAACGUGAAAUCCCCGGGCUCAACCCGGGAACUGCGUCCGAUACUGGAAGGCUUGAAUCCGGGAGAGGGAUGCGGAAUUCCAGGUGUAGCGGUGAAAUGCGUAGAUAUCUGGAGGAACACCGGUGGCGAAGGCGGCAUCCUGGACCGACAUUGACGCUGAACGGCGAAAGCUAGGGGAGCAAACGGG
rnacentral:rRNA from 1 species